GUAAGUGAGGACGCAUGUUUGCCAAGAAACCCCAAGUCUCCAUUCAUAGCGGUGUCUACUCAGAGGACAGAGGAAAACACACACACACACACACACACACACCCGGGAGUCCUUCCAAACGGUCCCAGGCUUCAUGAGAAGUCCGUGCUGGUGACAGUUGGAACGUGUUACUCUGGGGAUAGCCUAAUCACUACUGUAAAUGUUUCGUUCCCAUAGCUGAGUCAAAUGCCCUUGAAAAUGCUUCCAUCAGGAAACAUUCAGACACCUAAAUAUAUACUUUGUACCAAGUUUAAUGAACACUUUGCUACUUUUGAUGACUAUGAUUUCUUUAUCUACCUGGUAAACAGAGACCAGGAGCCUUUUAGUUUUAUUUCACGGAAAACACGUUGCUCAGUAGCCGCUCUCCAGCGGCUUCCCGUGCAGUCGUCCCAUGGGCUGUAGGGAGGGGCCACGCACCACCCUCCUGGGAGGUCUCUGCCUCUCCACUCAGGUGUCCGCCCCCCGCCCCGGCUGGGACGGAAGACCCUGAGGAGCUGGUGGAAUCCGGUGUGAAUGGGAACGCUUUUGCUCCAUCACCUCCUGUCCAGGCCUCUGGGUCCUGGAAGUAGCCAGGGCCGUGCAGUUCUAUGAAUGUGGCACCACGACCUGUCCCCCGAGGCCUGGAGGGCCUAGAGGGAGGGGCCCUGAAAAGCCCUUGUUCUCAGAAACGCAGGCUGUGUUUCCCAUGUGCAUAGAUUCCUCGAACUCACCUUGUGGAGAGGACACGGCUGCGUUGGUCUGAAGCCCAGGGGAUGUGUGCCCCUCAUGGGUGUGACCUGCGGCACCGUCCUCAGAGCGCCUGGUCCCUCAGAGGUGUGAUCGGCCCAGGUGAGCACACCGCCCGCCUUGCAGCCACCUCUGGAAGGGUAUGAACUCUCAGAGGUGUGAUCGGCCCAGGAGAGCACACCGCCCGCCUUGCAGCCACCUCUGGAAGGCUAUGAACUCUCCGAGGUGUGAUCGGCCCAGGAGAGCACACCGCCCGCCUUGCAGCCACCUCUGGAAGGCUAUGAACUCAAGUUUGAUGAACAGAGAGACAGCUGUUUGUCCAGGACCACCAGUUCUGAGGGCAGAUGAGCCCAGGCUGAUGGCGGCUACCCUGCUGCUCCAUGCAGAGGAGCUGCCUGCGAGUGAAGCCACAAAGAGGGGAGACUUCUGAGCGACAGGCAGGGUGGGGGCCCAGUGAACUGUGGAUCUCUAGAUCCACUGUCAGCUGCAAUCCGGUCUUUAUUAUGUUUUAAAUGUCAUUUUGUCUGAUUUAGUCUGGCCUUGGUUUUUAUUACCUGGAACUCAAAGAAUCUUUAGUUCUGUGCCAUGUAAAGGAGAUAUUAUUCCAGUUUACACCAGAGAAGUUCCAGGCGUAGACAGGCAAAGUGCCCAAGCGCACCCAGCCAGGAACAGGUGCGGCCUCGUGAGCUCCAGUGACCCUAAUCCCUGAUCAAAGGUGGGGCUCAGGCUCGACCCGGCAUGGGACUCGCUAUGCCAGUUUGCCAAAUGCAGACUGCAGGGCACCCACCAGCAACGAUACUGUUCAGUAGGUUAGGGCAGGUUCCGGAAAUCUCCAUUUUUAUCGAACGUUCCUGGUGAUUCUGAGGCAGCCCCCAUCUUACUGAAGACAAGCCCACUGUGCAAGCCUGGCUGCAUUUGGCCCCUGGUUUAACAUCUGCACCCAGGAUUCUUGCCGGCCGGGCGCGGUGGCUCACNNNNNNNNNNGUGACAGAGCAAGACUCCGUCUCAAAAAAAAAAGAUUCUUGCCAAGGAUCAAAGCCUCAAAUGUUCCCAUGGACUCUCCACUGACCACGGAGGAGCUGGGGAGAUGCUGGAGGACACGCUGUCCCUCCCUGGGUCCCUCCACUGGCUCCAGGCAGGUGUGCACAGGGCAGUGUGUCAGCCUCGGUGUUUGAACCCCGUCCGGCCCCGUGAGGGUCCACGUUAGAUUCAGUGUUUGAGCCCCAUCCGGCCCCGUGAGGGUCCGUGUUAGAAUCGGUGUUUGAGCCCCGCUGGGCCCCGUGAGGGUCCGUGUUCGUUAGAAGGGCUGUGUGUGCAGUGGACAGGUGGCACCCAUGCCUUCCUCAAGGUCCUCUUCCUUGGUGGCAGGGGGCUCAGGCCCGAGUGUCCCCGGCACUCUGUCAUGUUCACUCUGGGACAUCACAGACCUCGGUCGCCUUUUUGCACUGGUCGAUAGAAGCUACCAGCAAACGUGUGGCCCACUCUGGUGCCUGAAUGGGAACUAACAGACUUCAUUCUGUAGCUGCUUCCUCGGGCCGCGUGGCUGUUCCACCUCCAUCUCCCUCACUCUGAUUCCUGCAGGUUUGUGCGGCUUUGCUUCGUAUCAUGUGCCUUUGUCUCAGGGAUGGACCCCAUUUGGAACGAGGCGGGGCAUCCGACAGACCAGCUCGGUUCCUACCCCAGAAACAAGGGCUGCUGCUGAGAACUGAAAGGUCUGCUGGAAAGGAACAGCUCUGAUGAUAAAAACUUUGCAGCCAGAACUCAUGUUUCAUAGGCUCUUUCUGAAGAAAAGUGAAACAAAUAGUGUAGGUUUAAUUGGAUCCACGCCUGCUGGAUCCAAUACACACAGCAGCCAUAUUUGUGUUACCAAAAGGGGGCUGGGGAGGGAAGGUGGUCUAGUGGGAGCAGGGAAGCAGUUAUGACCAGGAGUGUCAAUGAAUCCACAGUGUCGCAGAAUUUUCUAAGAGACGUGGACCAAUUUGGUGGCUGGGCUCAGAAGUGGCAAAAGGCGACAGCCGUCAACCGCCUCCCCGCAGCACUGCACCUCCCUGCUGCAGCCACAGCUGCCCUGUCCAGAAAUCCUGGGGCCUCUGCACCGCCAGGCCCUUCUCUACCCGCUCCAACUUUGCUCGGUGCAUGUGGGUGAGUGUGUUAGGGUGGAUGACAUGCACGCGGGAAUACUGACCCAGAGCUUCUGGAAGCCUCCCUGUACGCGUUGUGAUGAGAAGGCUGGAGCUCCAGCAGCCACGCUGGCAGGGAGCAUGGAAGCCAUGAGCAGGGAUGUGCGGCCCAGGAGCAGAGAGCUCCUGGCUCUGGAGCCCCUGGGAGCUUCAGGCUGGCUGUAAGUGCCAGCCGCCAUGCUUCCUGUGCAUGGAAGAAAAUGCGCUCCGUCCUGUUUCACCCACCGUGAUUUGGGGUUCUGUUUAGGCGGCUGAACGUAAUCACAGGGAAUGCCAAAUACCACUGCCCAGUGUGCAAUGAUUACACAGCAGCUCCCACAGUACAGCCCAUGUCAGCACCCUCUAUGAUGUACCAGGGUUCACCGUGGCUGCCUGGUCCCCAGGCCGCUGUUUCAGAAGAGUGGCUGACUACGUCGACCCUGCACAUCCAAGAGGCGGCUCUCAUGGCCCAGGAAAUCCACAACAGGUGUCUUUGGUCUCUCAAUAUUCCCUGGCUUGUCCAGCUCUCACUCACUAUUGCCCCCACCCUGUGAACUGAAGUGGAGUAUUAUUCCCAUCGUAUCAGUGGCAGAAAAGUCAAUGGCGUAGCAUGGCACACCAUCUGUCCCCUCCCCUGUUGGUGUCUGGGAAGCCGCAGUCUGUGUUCACCAGGUAAGAGCUCCUGGCCCAAGCCUUUCGAGCAUGGCCCUUCCAGGCUGCUUGUCACACUGAGAUGUGAACAGAAACAGAGCUGGGUAGCCAGGCGUCUCCAGGGACACCUGGCAGAGGGACGGUGCAGCUGCCAUCUGGCCGCGUUUGCAGGACGCUCUUCCCAUGCGUCUCACAUGUGCCUUGCUGGAGCCCUUGGAGGUGGGCAUCAUUGCCACAGCUUUGCAGAUAAAAAGGAGGCAACCUGCCAUGGUCACCCAACGGGUGCUCCGCCCAUCAGACGUGAAUUCAUGUCUGUCUGAGCCUAAGCCUCUGAGCAUUCUCUGGAGCGCCACGCUGUGUGGACAGGCUGUGACCAUGAGCCACUAGAGCCCGGCCUGGGUGUGCCGUAAACCCAGCCGGGCCUUCCAUUUCCAGGCCCUCUGAGGGAUGUGCCUUUGGCCUCUGAGGCCCUGAGCUCCACGUGGGGAGAGCUCAGCCCCAGGCUGGCACCUGCCAUGCCUCCUACGGAAGAAGCCACGGCCCCGAAAGACAAGACACCCUGCACAGAAGGCAGAUCCAUAGGCCCUGAGUGCUGGCCACAUACGUGAAGGAAAAAGAAACGAAAUGGUGGCCAGAAAAUUCAUGCUCUUGGGCCAACCUCUACUGGAAAAGGCCAGGCGACCUUUCUAGACCUUUUGUGUCCCAACAAUUAAGCAGUGGGCUCACACAGCUUUAAGCAAGCAAGCUCAGUGAUAGCCUAGCUUUCCUUGAAACACAUAAGCUGGUCCAUCGUUCAUAAUAACCUAACAAUGAGUCUUUCCUCAUGUUUACGGCUUCAGA
rnacentral:lncRNA from 1 species